AGCAACCAGAGCCAGCUGCAGGAGCAGCUGUGUGGGCGCACACACAGUGGGGCGCAAGCCUAAGGUGCCACUUCCAGGCCGAGGGGCAACCCGAUGGUGUAGUAGAACCCUGACCUAUCCCAUCCGAUCGCUUCACCCUGCAGCCAGCUCUGUAGGCCUGCGCCCGCCUCCCACCUGUGCAGCAGCAGCCUACCAAUCCCAGUUGUAUCUCCUUGCCCUGCAACUGGCCCGAACACCCACCUUGGACUGCCUCUGACCGUUCCAGCAGACUAUCUUAAAGAAAAGGAUUUGUCCAUGUUUGAUGACCAGAUGGGAUAUUUGGUACAAGGAACAAAACCAGCAAAAUCCAACAAUUUUAUGCAAGUUGUCUGCAUUCAACCACUCGCAGGCUUUAUUUCUCAGCAGAAAAGGCUCAUUUGUUGGAACAGCACAAAUUAUGCUAGAAGAGAAGAAAUUUGUGUGGCAGGAGAAUAAAGUUGUGGUAAUGAUGAGAAA